CACGUAGGGCGCAAGCGUUGUCCGGAUUUAUUGGGCGUAAAGAGCUCGUAGGCGGCUUGUCGCGUCGGCUGUGAAAACCCGUGGCUCAACCAUGUGGUCUGCAGUCGAUACGGGCAGGCUAGAAUCCGGAAGAGGUGAGUGGAAUUCCUGGUGUAGCGGUGAAAUGCGCAGAUAUCAGGAGGAACACCAAUGGCGAAGGCAGCUCACUGGGACGGUAUUGACGCUGAGACGCGAAGCGUGGGGAGCAAACAGG
rnacentral:rRNA from 1 species